AAUAAACAGGGUUACCUAGAAGCCAUCAGGACUUUGAAGUUCUCCAAGAGAGGAGGAAUCUGACUCAGAGACUGGUGGGGACUGGGUGGCUCUCCUAUCAUGUUUGGCAGGCCACCCCCUAUAAAACCCUUUUCUUUAACUAUCUCUUUCCUUGAGAGGGCUCCAGAGGGCGCACGAGGACAUUUGGCCGCGCCUCCACGCCAUCUACGAGACCGGCCCAAUCCCAACUCCUCAUCAGCACAGACCAAGAGAUUGGGUCUACCUCAGAAGGCACCGCUGGGAAACCCUAGAGCCACAUUGGAAGGGUCCCUACACUGUGGUGCUGACAACCCCCACCGCUCUCAAGGUAGACAGCAUCACGACCUGGGUCCAUCACACUCAUGUCAGGUCAGCGGACCCAUCCGUGAUCCUGGAAGACUUCCUCAAGCUACGGCGUGCUCGACCUGCCUGAUGCUGGUAACAUUGCUCGCGAUCACUCCUGCCACCAGAAGCCCCCACAAUACUGUGUAAUAGACUUAGAUAAUGCCUGCAUCUUCAUGGACAUGGCUCCAAAGAGACAAGGACAAUUUAUAGGAUCACAUGUGUAGUAGCAGAAGAUUUGGCUGCCUGAAGCGGCCAUGAUGCCAAUAUUAUGUUUCAUUGUAUUGAUAUGUUAUAUUGACCUUUGAUUCUUUUGCAGGUUUGAAUGUAUGUUGGCUGUCCUGGAAGGGGACUGUGUGGAGUGACCCCCAAAAGUAAAGGGUGUCUAGCUGCCAAGAGGGCAGGUGCCCAACUGGGCAGGGAAGGGUGCCCAUCAGGUUUUGGUCACUGUUGAGAGACAGUUGACAGUUGGCAGCCUGUGUACUGCUUGCAGGCCUGUGUGACCAUGCCCAUG